CCUACGGGGGGCAGCAGUGGGGAAUAUUGCACAAUGGGGGAAACCCUGAUGCAGCGACGCCGCGUGAGUGAAGAAGUAAUUCGUUAUGUAAAGCUCUAUCAGCAGGGAAGAAAAUGACGGUACCUGAGUCAGAAGCCCCGGCUAACUACGUGCCAGCAGCCGCGGUAAUACGUAGGGGGCAAGCGUUAUCCGGAUUUACUGGGUGUAAAGGGAGCGUAGACGGCAGUGCAAGUCUGGAGUGAAAGGCGGGGGCUCAACCCCCGGACUGCUCUGGAAACUGUACGGCUGGAGUGCAGGAGAGGUAAGUGGAAUGCAUAGUGUAGCGGUGAAAUGCGUAGAUAUUAGGAGGAACACCAGUGGCGAAGGCGGCUUACUGGACUGUAACUGACGUUGAGGCUCGAAAGCGUGGGGAGCAAACAGGAUUAGAUACCCGUGUAGUC
rnacentral:rRNA from 1 species